rnacentral:rRNA from 1 species
GACGAACGCUGGCGGCGUGCUUAACACAUGCAAGUCGAACGGAAAGGCCCUGCUUUUGUGGGAUGCUCGAGUGGCGAACGGGUGAGUAACACGUGAGUAACCUGCCCUUGACUUUGGGAUAACUUCAGGAAACUGGGGCUAAUACCGGAUAGGAGCUCCUGCUGCAUGGUGGGGGUUGGAAAGUUUCGGCGGUUGGGGAUGGACUCGCGGCUUAUCAGCUUGUUGGUGGGGUAGUGGCUUACCAAGGCUUUGACGGGUAGCCGGCCUGAGAGGGUGACCGGCGACAUGGGGACUGAGAUACGGACCAGACUCCUACGGGGGGCAGCAGUGGGGAGUAUGGCACAAUGGGCGGAAGCCUGAUGCAGCAACGCCGCGUGCGGGAUGACGGCCUUCGGGUUGUGAACCGCUUUCGCCUGUGACGAAGCGUGAGUGACGGUAAUGGGUAAAGAAGCACCGGCUAACUACGUG